AUUGCUUUCCGUUCUUAGAAUACCUUCCGCAAGCCAGGAAGAAUGCAACGGAAACACAAAAGAGGAAUGUUUCAAUGCAGAAAGUUGGAUGUCAGAAGUUAGAUUGGAAACGAGGCUUGUGUCAAGGUAUCUAAAUGUGGAUAUGCACAAAUAAAAAACAACGUCACCUUGAGUAUACCGCGUUACACAUAUCUGCGGAGGAGUCAACUCUAUUGAUGGUAAUAGGGAGAAACAGGGCUGACGGCAGAGCAGUUUAAAGAAUGUUAUUUUUUUGUCUCGGGUACACAACCCAAACCUUUGUGAAAUUACCAAAACUAAAGCUUUAUUGUCACCCUGCUUCUGCUGUUGACCACUAGCAGAUCAUGCCAGGCAGGGAGAGAGAGAGAGAGAGAGAGAGAGAGAGAGAGAGAGAGAGAGAGAGAGAGAGAGGGAGAGAGAGAGAGAGAGAGAGAGAGAGAGAGAGAGAGAGAGAGAGAGAGAGAGAGAGAGAGAGAGAGAGAGAGAUCAUCCUCAUCCUCACAGCUGCAUUAAGGGAUUUAUCAUUCCAUAUAGGAAGCAAUAUGCGCACAUGCUGCGUAAUCAUAUUUAAUCUGGUAAUUAAAACGGCAGUGAUCCUGUGUGUGUGUGGUGUGUGUGCGUUUGUGUAUGUCUUUGCGCGUUGUUAGAGAACAGGGAGUUGAACGUACCGAGGGCGUUUGUCACCACUUUUUUAUUAUUCUCAGUCCAAUAUUGCAGACAUCCACCCACGCCUCUCUCUCUCUCUCUCUCUCUCUCUCUCUCUCUCUCUCUCUCUCUCUCUCUCUCUCUCUCUCUCUCUCUCUCUCCCUCCCUCCCUCCCUCCUUCCCUCCCUCCCUCCCCCUCUCCCCCAUCGACACAAUGGUGAUUCAUCAAGCCUAACUUGCAGAACAUGGAGAAAUGUAAAAACCCCAUCUAGGAUUUCUGCGUGUAUAAUGAUGUCUCUUUUUUUUUUUUUUUUACUAAGGUUCACUUGUAAAACACAUUUGUUUUGUUUUUUUCAGAUAGUUUAA
rnacentral:lncRNA from 1 species